UGAGGAAUAUUGGUCAAUGGUCGCAAGACUGAACCAGCCAUGCCGCGUGCAGGAAGACGGUCCUAUGGAUUGUAAACUGCUUUUAUACAGGAAGAAACCCUCCCACGUGUGGGAGCUUGACGGUACUGUAGGAAUAAGGAUCGGCUAACUCCGUGCCAGCAGCCGCGGUAAUACGGAGGAUCCAAGCGUUAUCCGGAAUCAUUGGGUUUAAAGGGUCCGUAGGCGGUCUUAUAAGUCAGUGGUGAAAGCCCAUCGCUCAACGAUGGAACUGCCAUUGAUACUGUAAGACUUGAAUGCUUAGGAAGUAACUAGAAUAUGUAGUGUAGCGGUGAAAUGCUUAGAUAUUACAUGGAAUACCAAUUGCGAAGGCAGGUUACUACUAAGUGAUUGACGCUGAUGGACGAAAGCGUGGGGAGCGAACAGGAUUAGAUACCCUGGUAGUCCACGCCGUAAACGAUGGAUACUAGCUGUUCGGCGCAAGUUGAGUGGCUAAGCGAAAGUGAUAAGUAUCCCACCUGGGGAGUACGCACGCAAGUGUGAAACUCAAAUGAAUUGACGGGGUCAUAGCUGUUUCCUG
rnacentral:rRNA from 1 species